rnacentral:rRNA from 1 species
GACGAACGCUGGCGGCGUGCUUAACACAUGCAAGUCGAACGGAAAGGCCCUGCUUUUGUGGGGUGCUCGAGUGGCGAACGGGUGAGUAACACGUGAGUAACCUGCCCUUGACUUUGGGAUAACUUCAGGAAACUGGGGCUAAUACCGGAUAGGAGCUCCUGCUGCAUGGUGGGGGUUGGAAAGUUUCGGCGGUUGGGGAUAGACUCGCGGCUUAUCAGCUUGUUGGUGGGGUAGUGGCUUACCAAGGCUUUGACGGGUAGCCGGCCUGAGAGGGUGACCGGCCACAUUGGGACUGAGAUACGGCCCAGACUCCUACGGGAGGCAGCAGUGGGGAAUAUUGCACAAUGGGCGGAAGCCUGAUGCAGCGACGCCGCGUGCGGGAUGACGGCCUUCGGGUUGUAAACCGCUUUCGCCUGUGACGAAGCGUGAGUGACGGUAAUGGGUAAAGAAGCACCGGCUAACUACGUG